CCUACGGGUGGCAGCAGUGAGGAAUAUUGGUCAAUGGGCGGAAGCCUGCACCAGCCAAGUCGCGUGAGGGAGUAAGGCCCUACGGGUCGUACACCUCUUUUGCCGGGGAGCAGUGCCCAGCUCGUGAGCUGGGAGGGAGCGUAACCGGAGAAAAAGCAUCGGCUAAAUCCGUGCCAGCAGCCGCGGUCAUACGGGGGGUGCAAGCGUUGUCCGGCAUCAUUGGGCGUAAAGGGUUGGUAGGCGUCACGUAAAGUAUGGUGUUAAAGUCAGAGGCUCAACUUCUGUACGGCACUGGAUACUGGCGAGCUAGAAUGCGGUAGAGGUAAAGGGAAUUCCUGGUGUAGCGGUGAAAUGCGUAGAUAUCAGGAGGAACAUCAGAGGCGUAAGCGCUUUACUGGGUCGUAAUUGACGCUGAGGAACGAAAGCCAGGGUAGCAAAUGGGAUUAGAUACCCGUGUAGUC
rnacentral:rRNA from 1 species